UAUUGGAAGUCCUUAAUAAUUCAAAUGCUUGAUAGAAGCUUUAAAAAGCACUGCAGUGAAAACAGUUUACUGGAUAAGUCGUUUUGGAAAUAAGCUGUUUUUGCAAUUCUGUUUUUUUCUGUUAUUCUUGGGCCUGUUUGUGGUUCCAAUUUGUACCCUAUAAAUAGACAUUGUAUGUCAUAGUUGAAAGGUUAAUGCCAUAUGAUUCAAUUCUCUCAAUCUUUC
rnacentral:lncRNA from 1 species